rnacentral:rRNA from 1 species
AAGGUUAAGCCUCACGGUUCAUUAGUACCGGUUAGCUCAACGCAUCGCUGCGCUUACACACCCGGCCUAUCAACGUCGUCGUCUUCAACGUUCCUUCAGGACCCUUAAAGGGUCAGGGAGAACUCAUCUCGGGGCAAGUUUCGUGCUUAGAUGCUUUCAGCACUUAUCUCUUCCGCAUUUAGCUACCGGGCAGUGCCAUUGGCAUGACAACCCGAACACCAGUGAUGCGUCCACUCCGGUCCUCUCGUACUAGGAGCAGCCCCCCUCAGUUCUCCAGCGCCCACGGCAGAUAGGGACCGAACUGUCUCACGACGUUCUAAACCCAGCUCGCGUACCACUUUAAAUGGCGAACAGCCAUACCCUUGGGACCUACUUCAGCCCCAGGAUGUGAUGAGCCGACAUCGAGGUGCCAAACACCGCCGUCGAUAUGAACUCUUGGGCGGUAUCAGCCUGUUAUCCCCGGAGUACCUUUUAUCCGUUGAGCGAUGGCCCUUCCAUUCAGAACCACCGGAUCACUAUGACCUGCUUUCGCACCUGCUCGCGCCGUCACGCUCGCAGUCAAGCUGGCUUAUGCCAUUGCACUAACCUCCUGAUGUCCGACCAGGAUUAGCCAACCUUCGUGCUCCUCCGUUACUCUUUAGGAGGAGACCGCCCCAGUCAAACUACCCACCAGACACUGUCCGCAACCCGGAUCACGGGUCCACGUUAGAACAUCAAACAUUAAAGGGUGGUAUUUCAAGGUCGGCUCCAUGCAGACUGGCGUCCACACUUCAAAGCCUCCCACCUAUCCUACACAUCAAGGCUCAAUGUUCAGUGUCAAGCUAUAGUAAAGGUUCACGGGGUCUUUCCGUCUUGCCGCGGGUACACUGCAUCUUCACAGCGAGUUCAAUUUCACUGAGUCUCGGGUGGAGACAGCCUGGCCAUCAUUACGCCAUUCGUGCAGGUCGGAACUUACCCGACAAGGAAUUUCGCUACCUUAGGACCGUUAUAGUUACGGCCGCCGUUUACCGGGGCUUCGAUCAAGAGCUUCGCUUGCGCUAACCCCAUCAAUUAACCUUCCGGCACCGGGCAGGCGUCACACCGUAUACGUCCACUUUCGUGUUUGCACAGUGCUGUGUUUUUAAUAAACAGUUGCAGCCAGCUGGUAUCUUCGACUGAUUUCAGCUCCACGAGCAAGUCGCUUCACCUACGUAUCAGCAUGCCUUCUCCCGAAGUUACGGCACCAUUUUGCCUAGUUCCUUCACCCGAGUUCUCUCAAGCGCCUUGGUAUUCUCUACCUGACCACCUGUGUCGGUUUGGGGUACGAUUUGAUGUUACCUGAUGCUUAGAGGCUUUUCCUGGAAGCAGGGCAUUUGUUGCUUCAGCACCGUAGUGCCUCGUCAUCACGCCUCGGCCUUGAUUUUCCGGAUUUGCCUGGAAAACCAGCCUACACGCUUAAACCGGGACAACCGUCGCCCGGCCAACAUAGCCUUCUCCGUCCCCCCUUCGCAGUAACACCAAGUACAGGAAUAUUAACCUGUUUCCCAUCGACUACGCCUUUCGGCCUCGCCUUAGGGGUCGACUCACCCUGCCCCGAUUAACGUUGGACAGGAACCCUUGGUCUUCCGGCGAGCGGGCUUUUCACCCGCUUUAUCGUUACUUAUGUCAGCAUUCGCACUUCUGAUACCUCCAGCAUACCUCACAGCACACCUUCACAGGCUUACAGAACGCUCCCCUACCCAACAACGCAUAAGCGUCGCUGCCGCAGCUUCGGUGCAUGGUUUAGCCCCGUUACAUCUUCCGCGCAGGCCGACUCGACCAGUGAGCUAUUACGCUUUCUUUAAAUGAUGGCUGCUUCUAAGCCAACAUCCUGGCUGUCUGGGCCUUCCCACAUCGUUUCCCACUUAACCAUGACUUUGGGACCUUAGCUGGCGGUCUGGGUUGUUUCCCUCUUCACGACGGACGUUAGCACCCGCCGUGUGUCUCCCGUGAUAACAUUCUCCGGUAUUCGCAGUUUGCAUCGGGUUGGUAAGUCGGGAUGACCCCCUUGCCGAAACAGUGCUCUACCCCCGGAGAUGAAUUCACGAGGCGCUACCUAAAUAGCUUUCGGGGAGAACCAGCUAUCUCCCGGUUUGAUUGGCCUUUCACCCCCAGCCACAAGUCAUCCGCUAAUUUUUCAACAUUAGUCGGUUCGGUCCUCCAGUUAGUGUUACCCAACCUUCAACCUGCCCAUGGCUAGAUCACCGGGUUUCGGGUCUAUACCCUGCAACUUAACGCCCAGUUAAGACUCGGUUUCCCUUCGGCUCCCCUAUUCGGUUAACCUUGCUACAGAAUAUAAGUCGCUGACCCAUUAUACAAAAGGUACGCAGUCACACGCCUAAGCGUGCUCCCACUGCUUGUACGUACACGGUUUCAGGUUCUUUUUCACUCCCCUCGCCGGGGUUCUUUUCGCCUUUCCCUCACGGUACUGGUUCACUAUCGGUCAGUCAGGAGUAUUUAGCCUUGGAGGAUGGUCCCCCCAUAUUCAGACAGGAUACCACGUGUCCCGCCCUACUCAUCGAGCUCACAGUAUGUGCAUUUUUGUGUACGGGGCUGUCACCCUGUAUCGCACGCCUUUCCAGACGCUUCCACUAACACACACACUGAUUCAGGCUCUGGGCUGCUCCCCGUUCGCUCGCCGCUACUGGGGGAAUCUCGGUUGAUUUCUUUUCCUCGGGGUACUUAGAUGUUUCAGUUCCCCCGGUUCGCCUCAUUAACCUAUGGAUUCAGUUAAUGAUAGUGUGACGAAUCACACUGGGUUUCCCCAUUCGGAAAUCGCCGGUUAUAACGGUUCAUAUCACCUUACCGACGCUUAUCGCAGAUUAGCACGUCCUUCAUCGCCUCUGACUGCCAGGGCAUCCACCGUGUACGCUUAGUCGCUUAA